AUGGGCUUUGUUAAUUUUUAUAACGAAAUAUGGAGGGCCGAAGACUCCCCGUCGGGUAGCGCUGUAAGUGCUCCGAAUCAGCUUUUUUUGGAAAACCCAUUGGAUCAAUUUGCCAUUUACCCAAUAAUUUAUCUUCAUGUGGGCAACUUUUAUUUUACAUUUACAAAUGCAGUCUUGUAUAUGCUGCUCACUGUCGUUUUGGUCAUUUUUCUGUUUUUUCUUGUUACGAAAAACGGACGUGGAAAGUCAGUGCCAAAUGCAUGGCAAUCCUUGGUCGAGCUUAUUUAUGAUUUCGUGCUAAACCUGGUAAACGAACAAAUAGGUGGUCUUUCCGGAAAUGUGAAACAAAAGUUUUUCCCUCGCAUCUCGAUCACUUUUACUUUUUCGUUAUUUCGUAAUCCCCAGGGUCUGAUACCCUUUAGCUUCACAGUGACAAGUCAUUUUCUCAUUACUUUGGCUCUUUCAUUUUCCAUUUUUAUAGGCAUUACGAUCGUUGGAUUUCAAAGACAUGGGCUUCACUUUUUUAGCUUCUUAUUACCUGCGGGAGUCCCACUGCCGUUAGCACCUUUCUUAGUACUCCUUGAGCUAAUCUCUUAUUGUUUUCGUGCAUUAAGCUUAGGAAUACGUUUAUUUGCUAAUAUGAUGGCCGGUCAUAGUUUAGUAAAGAUUUUAAGAGGGUUUGCUUGGACUAUGCUAUUUCUGAAUAAUAUUUUCUAUUUCAUAGGAGAUCUUGGUCCCUUAUUUAUAGUUCUAGCAUUAACCGGUCUGGAAUUAGGUGUAGCUAUAUCACAAGCUCAUGUUUUUACGAUCUCAAUUUGUAUUUACUUGAAUGAUGCUACAAAUCUCCAUCAAAAUGAGUCAUUUCAUAAUUGA
rnacentral:rRNA from 1 species